GAUGAAGAACGUAGCGAAAUGCGAUAACUAAUGUGAAUUGCAGAAUUCCGUGAAUCAUCGAGUCUUUGAACGCACAUUGCGCCCCCUGGUAUUCCGGGGGGCAUGCCUGUCCGAGCGUCAUUGCUGCCCAUCAAGCACGGCUUGUGUGUUGGGUCCUCGUCCCCCCCGGGGGACGUGCCCGAAAGGCAGCGGCGGCACCGCGUCCGGUCCUCGAGCGUAUGGGGCUUUGUCACCCGCUCUGCAGGCCCGGCCGGCGCUGGCCGACGCGAAAGCAACCAUUCUUUCUCCAGGUUGACCUCGGAUCAGGUAGGGAUACCCGCUGAACUUAAGCAUAUCAAUAAGCGGAGGA
rnacentral:misc_RNA from 1 species